GUUGCAUGAGCUGUCACGGAGAUUAUGAUUUAAUAUUUCAUUUUUGAAAAUGAAUAAGUCUUUGAGGCAAUUUGGCCUUAUAUUAUGAAGUAUCUUAAACAUUGUUUUCGCUUUAGUUUACGGAAAGUUUUUUUGUUGUCAGGUUCGGCGGUUAGUCGUUGAACAACUAGUUCCUGGCCGUUAUUGCGUUCGUUAUGAUUUAUUGUUCUUUUGGCCGUCACUUUGGCAUUUAAUUAUUUCCAAAUCUGGUUCAUCUUCGCCAUUUUGUCGUAAAUCGCAUGUGGAAUCUUCGAACGAAAACAAGUGUCUCCACAAUUUCAAUUGAAAAUUACCAUUAAAGUUCGCAAGGCAUGUUGGUCUAUGAUAACGAUGGGCCACGUCGAGAACAUUUGAUUUCAGAAUUAAAAAUCAAAUUGCAUGUUAGUUGUUUUUGUUUUUUUUAAUUUGCUUUUUUUAUUUUUUUUACAUAUAUUUUUAUAUCUAUGUUUUAAU